rnacentral:piRNA from 1 species
UGGGAACGAGAAGACACACGUGGAGGCGUC